AGUGAACGCUGGCGGUAGGCCUAACACAUGCAAGUCGAACGGCAGCACAGUAAGAGCUUGCUCUUACGGGUGGCGAGUGGCGGACGGGUGAGGAAUACAUCGGAAUCUACUUUUUCGUGGGGGAUAACGUAGGGAAACUUACGCUAAUACCGCAUACGACCUACGGGUGAAAGCAGGGGAUCUUCGCACCUUGCGCGAUUGAAUGAGCCGAUGUCGGAUUAGCUAGUUGGCGGGGUAAAGGCCCACCAAGGCGACGAUCCGUAGCUGGUCUGAGAGGAUGAUCAGCGACACUGGAACUGAGACACGGUCCAGACUCCUACGGGAGGCAGCAGUGGGGAAUAGUGGGCAAUGGGCGCAAGCCUGAUCCAGCCAUACCGCGUGGGUGAAGAAGGCCUUCGGGUUGUAAAGCCCUUUUGUUGGGAAAGAAAAGCAGCAGGUUAAUACCCCGCUGUUCUGACGGUACCCAAAGAAUAAGCACCGGCUAACUUCGUG
rnacentral:rRNA from 1 species